GUAAGUAUCAACAAAGCGUGUCCGGGUCCCCCGCCAUAAGGAGGAUGUUGUCUAGGUAGAUGAUGGAACACACCCUCUGGGCACAGAGAAAUGCCAUGACAGGCUUAAGAAACUUGGUGAAACACCAAGGGGCUGAGCUGAGGCUGAUAGGCAGGCAUGUGAAUUGCCAGAGUUGACUGUCCCACAGGAAUUGUAGGAAAUGUCUGUUCUUCCCUUGAAUCAGAACAGUG